rfam:Ixodes scapularis strain Wikel colony gcontig_1108379511730, whole genome shotgun sequence.
GCGCUCGUGGCCUAACGGUUAUCGCGCCUGCAUUCCACGCAGAAAGCCAGGGUUCGAUUCCUGGCGCGGGUA